CAAAUCUAUAAGAUAUUGUAGUAACACGUAAUCUUCUUCUUCCACUAGGAUGCUGA
rnacentral:antisense_RNA from 1 species